UUAAAAAGAAAUUAUCUAUAAUAAAUCCAAUGUCCACACCUAUAUUUACAACCGUAGGCAAUACGAAAAACACAAAUUUUAAAUACGUUAAGAUAUUAUUUUUGAUAUUUCGUCGUCUGAUGAUAUAAGUUGGAUUAUUGAUACAUCCUAUUAAUUAUUAAAAUUAAAAAGAAAUCAAAUUUUAUAUUAAGAGUUAUUAAUUGUUUUUAGUUAAUUAUUGUUUUUUUUUUUUAAAAUUAUAAAUUGAAAUGUGAAAAAAUCGUUAUAUAAAAAAGAACAGUAUAUAUAUUUGAAAUAUUUUACUAUUUCAAUCAACUAAUACUUUUUUGAUGUUUACCAAAGUAUGGGAUUAUUUUUUGUAAGAAUUUUUUAGUGUAAUUUCAAUAUUUAAGAUUUUAAACUAAAACUAACAAAUUUUUAUUGUUGCGAGUAAUGGAAAAUGUAAAACCCAAAAUGAUUGUAUUUGAUUUAGAUUUAACCAUUUGGCCAUUUCAUGUAGAUCAGUGUAUGAAACCAUUUCAACUUGACUGAAAAAAGUGAAAGAUGUUUACGGUAAUGAAUAUUCAUUAUUUCCAGAAGUGCUUGAUGCAUUAUUUAAACUAUCUAAAGAAAAUUAUAUUUUAGCUGUAGCAUCUAGAAUUGAAGAUAUUACUACAGCUUACCUACUGCUAAACUUUUUUAAUAUUGCACAUUAUUUUACUUAUAUAGAAAUAUAUCCAUACAAUAAAUCAGUUCAUUUUAAAUGGUUAAAUCUAAAAAGUUGUAUACCUUACAAUCAAAUGGUUUUCUACGAUGAUGAUGUACGAAAUAUUCGUUGUGUAUCGAAAUUGGGAGUUCAUACACUUCUAGUUCAAAGCAACAUAGGAUUAUCAUACAAACUUAUACAAACAUUUUUAAACCCAGAUAAAUAAAUAAAAAAAAUUUUUGUACUAAAGAAAUAUAUAUUUAGUAUUAGAAUUAUCAACUAUUUAUAAUACUAAUAUUAUCAGAAUUAUUAUAAUUAAUGAAAACUUUGAUAAAUUAUGUUGGCAAUCCAGAAGCUUUGCGAGUCAGAAUCUUCUAUAAAAAAAAGAUAUUCUUAUUAAUCUAUAA